UGGGGAAUAUUGCACAAUGGAGGGAACUCUGAUGCAGCGACGCCGCGUGAACGAAGAAGGCUUUCGAGUCGUAAAGUUCUUUUAUAUGGGAAGAUAAUGACGGUACCAUAAGAAAAAGCCCCGGCUAACUACGUGCCAGCAGCCGCGGUAAUACGUAAGGGGCUAGCGUUGUCCGGAAUCACUGGGCGUAAAGGGUUCGCAGGCGGAAAUGCAAGUCAGGUGUAAAAGGCAGUAGCUUAACUACUGUAAGCAUUUGAAACUGCAUAUCUUGAGAAGAGUAGAGGUAAGUGGAAUUUGUAGUGUAGCGGUGAAAUGCGUAGAUAUUAAAAAGAAUACCGGUGGCGAAGGCGACUUACUGGGCUCAUUCUGACGCUGAGGAACGAAAGCGUGGGUAGCAAACAGG
rnacentral:rRNA from 1 species